rnacentral:rRNA from 1 species
CGGGUAGAGUAAUGCGUGACCAACCUGCACCAUGCUCCAGAAUAGCUCUUGGAAACGGGUGGUAAUGCUGGAUGCUCCAACUUGACGCAUGUCUUGUUGGGAAAGUGUUUAGUGGCAUGGGAUGGGGUCGCGUCCUAUCAGCUUGUAGGCGGGGUAAUGGCCCACCUAGGCUUCGACGGGUAGCCGGCCUGAGAGGGCGGACGGCCACAUUGGGACUGAGAUACGGCCCAGACUCCUACGGGAGGCAGCAGGC